CCGGACUCAGUUACGCGGUGACCGGCCUUACGUGCGGAACUGUCUAAUGGUUUAACUACUCAGAAACAGAGCAUAUUAUGACAUAAAAAAUCGUUGAUACAUUUUAAUGGUUUAGUUAAUGAAUUCGUGAGGAGUAAAAAAAAUAUAAAACACAAUUGGUGGAUUUUAAUUGUCAACGGAUAUCGGAUUUUUUGUGAUUAAUUGUAAUUUCAAUUAAUGGAAGACAAUGGUUCAUUGACUAUUUGUGAUUGAUAAAAUCAACAGUUACUGGGUGACAUCAGCGAGUUUGAAUUGUAAGUAGAGUUUCAUCGAAAAAGUUAUCAAGAAAAUGAUGGAAUACCCAGCACUCUAUCACAAGUUGUCCAAAGUUUCAUUGACAAGCACGAUGUAACAGUGUUAUCCAAAUCCCAUCUCCAACCCUCAUAUGACUCUUGAUGUUAUUUCAUUUGUUUUUUUUUUGUUGAGAGUAAGAACAUUCCCAGUGUGAUUAUGAUGAUUUUGAGCACGUGGUGAGAGUUUGGAAAAACCCCUUGAGCACAUCCCGACACUUUUGUUGUCCUGAUUAUUGAAUAUUGAAUGAGACAUCAAUUGAAAGCACAAGUAGUUGGUUGGUUGUACCAGUAACAAGGUGCCUACGUCUCGUCGAAUGUAGGAAACCGAGGAUAAUUCACGAGGAGCAACAAUUUCACCAGUGGGAUUAUAACCGGAAGUGAAUGACUGAUGUCAAUCUGAAGAAGUAUCUUGGACAAGUGUUGGUGGUGUUGAAUCAUUGGAGGAUUUAAUCGUGUGGGCAUUGUCACACGUACUUGUCUGGAUAUAAUCAAGGGUGAAGAGUUAGCCGCAUGCGAGUCCCAAGGUCAGAGGUGUGGAACGAGAGGAUUUACAAUCGUCAGGACCUCAUCGGCAACGAUCGGGUCCUCAAUGCCAUUUGGAGGGACACAAGAGCACCACCAGCGACUCUGGCAGGUCGGUUGUGUCUCACGUCAACAAAUAUAUCAUAAGAGAAUUAAAUUGAAAAUUCUCAGAUGUAUUUAGUCAGUUUAUAAAUUUUUUUUUCAAUCAUUCCUCGGUGGUCUAUGUGGAUAAACGUUUAGUUUAUGCUUUUUUAAUCAUUGGACUAUUUUUUAAAAAUCUGCACUCGAGUUGAUAUUGGUUAUUUUUCCAUUGAAUGUCAUCUUCGUUAUGCAGUUGUUGGAUUUUUUAAAUGGAAUAAGGGGGGGUCAGUAGACGGUUAUAAGGACAUGACGGUGUUGGAGAUAUAUUGAGGGUGAAUUUGUUGGUUGGAAGAUUGUUGAGGUGAUUGUUUUAUCGAGAUAACGUUGAGGAUCAAGGGAGUGCGAAUAUGCGUACUGUCAGUGAUAAUGCCGGGACUAAAACAACUGUUCAACCCGUGACUGGGGGCAGUGGGUUGAGGGGUAGCGUUGGGGAUAGUCAUGUUGAUGAGUGUACUGUUGCUGCUCAUGUUGGUCCCAGGAGCAUUCACCAUGGUAUUGUUUACCCGGUCAACAGCCGGGUUGCUUUUGCCGAUAGCAACAAUAAUCAUGAUCAUCAUAGGAAUCUUGAGAGUCAGGAGCAGGGGCAUAAUGCUGAUGAUGCUUGGACAAAGUGCACUUACUGACGUAUCCAUAAUCAUUAGCAUUAAACUGGAUGACUCACAUUGCUAUAAUAAGCCUGAUCGAAGCCACCAGCGGUGGCACGAGGACAAGCGCUGUGUCGAAACAAAUUUUCGGUCCUAUUAUGGGGCUUUCCUCAUUCCGUUAAUGACAACGGUGUGUGUGACAGGAUACAGGUGAGUUUAGUCACAGGGUGAUAUUUCACAGUGCUUUUUAGCGAGAGAAUUUAAUUACUUCAUGAGAAAAAUUUCAUAUUAAACUGAUUAAUAUAAAAACUUAUUCCUCUAAGAAUAAGCUUUUUUCAAUAAUUAAUAUCAACGUAUGCGAUCAAUUAAAAUUAAAAUUAAAGCUUUUUGUAAAGCUCUGAACCCACGAGGUUAAACACUUUGAUCUUUUCGUAAAGGUUUAUGUAUGACUCGAGUAAUUGUUCUGUAAAAAAGAUUUUCAAAGAUUUCCUCAUAUUAUCAUUACGAAGAUAAUUGAACAAUUAACAAAACAUUGGUUUGAACAAUGUGAAAUAUUUAUGCAAUCAUGUCGGUAAUUAGCAGCGUUACGAGAAAAUCCUAAAGAGACGUUUUGUGUAAUCGAGGGAAUUCUCGGUAAAAUAUUUUCUGCCAUUUUCCCCGAUUUUUCCUAGAUCGUCUGUGCCUACAUAAUAUUCUAGCAUACAAUAAAUUCGCAGCCUUUCCUUUGGCCUGGGAUCCACGCACAUCCGACUAAAUGGAUUUCAAUGAGAUUUUUACUGUCAAUUAGAUUAGAAUCUGUGUUCUAACAUCAGUUAUAAAUUAUUGCGCUAAGUUACAUGUGAGGAAAGGUGCUCUCAGUGCUAUUCCGAAAGAGUAAUUAAUUGAAUUGAAUUUAGGCCGACUCGAUAUAUUUUUAAAAUCUAAAUUUUUCCAUUUGGGGUAUAAUUUAUUGCAAAGGGAGAGGGAGAGGUAUUGCAAAAGAAAGAAAUGAGCAAUGGCUAUUACGUGACAGAAAGAAAUCAUAUAGAAAACCCCCAUUUAGCAACCUAUUGCCCAUUCAUUAGCAAAUUAUUAGCAAAAACAACUAUACUAUUCACAGAAAUGAGCAAUUGCCAGUUAUUUGAUUAGAUGGCAGUUAAUUUAAUGAAAAAAUAUGAUAUACCCGGGUAAUGAUGAAUUGAUGAUGCUGAUGUUCUCAGUCAAUCAAAUACUUGACUAAAAUUCUCAAAAGUUGUCAUUGAACCCUCAGCCCAUUAUUUCCAAUUCUCUCUCCUCCGAUCUUCGCCUACGAUUGCCUCAAGUCUCCACUUGGCGCAACAUCAGCAGAUCGCCUGCAUAUCCCCAGUGCUGUUGUGGCGCAAUGUACCACCGCGAGGUGAGGUUUCGUCGUCUCACCUCGACCGUUUCUCUCCCCGGACAUUUCCUGACAUUGCAUUCACGUUGGAUUUCAUUCUUAACUGCGAAAUACGAGAAAAUAAAAAUGAGAAAAUUUUUUUUUCUCACUCAUUUCAAUCGCCCUCUCGCGCUCUGAUGUCCCUGAGAGCUGGAGACGUAAAAAAGGUUCGAAAACUUGACACCGAGUGUGUGUAUUAUGAGGAGAAUAUUUCGCAAUAGGAUCAGCCAUGUAUUAGUCUUCGUUUCGCUUCUCAUUUUUAUGUAUUGCUUCAUUUUUUUUUUUACUUCUCUUUGUCCUCUUUAUUCUUAAUUUUGUCGUCUCUCUUUCUCUCUGUCAAAGACCCUGCGGAGGCCCCCGAGCGACGUAUAGACCCGAGUACGCAAUGGAAAUGAGGCAAUCGUACGCGACUUUUGCACGAUAUCGACAUGCGAUAUGAACUCGAUUUCGUUGAGAAAAUGUGGAAUUGUAAUGAACUGAGGGUUAUUUUAAUAAAUUCAUGUCUGACAGAUAAUCGAUUCAGAGUAUUUGGUACUAGUGGGUGAAUUUAUUUGUAUUGCGACAUUCAAAAUUGACUGAAAGGCGAAAAGCGAAUUUCUCCAUUUCUUUGUGUUACGCAGAACGAUUUUUUUUAAUUCAAGGGAUUUCUGAAGAUGCUCUCGCAAAAAGUUCAUAUAGCGUUACUGAGUCAACGUGAGGCCUGAUGAGUGCGGUAAUGAAAUAGUAGAAAGGGAACAGUUCAAGGAAUUAAUUCGAAAUAUACUGUUGGGGCAUAAUAUUUGAAGAUAUGAUGUUCCAACUGAAAUAUCUUCAAAAGUGAGAGGCCGAGAAGUAUUGGUUGAUUGAGAUGUUUUUAUAGGAAAUUCCGUAUUCUAGAAAAAGAAUUCCUGAUGUUCUUCGUUAAACCCACUUGUUUUGCUUCUCCAAGCAAUUACGACACGAUCUCUAUUUCAACUCCAACCGGACUUUUUAAUGAUUUUUUCAAUGCCCCUGAAAAUUAAAGGUUCAACGAACCUCGUUAAGUCGAGUAUGGAUAUUUCAGAAUCUUAAUGAGAAAAUUAUUGGAGUCGAAUUAGAAGUCCCCACUUCACAUUCUCCUGUGAACUCCCCAUUUCCACAGAUAAUUGAGCCUGCAGGCUUAUUGAAAGGUAUAUUGAGGUAGACCAUGUUAAGUGAAUCAAGGGGGGACCCUCACCCUCGUCGAAAUUGAUCUCGAUUUUCCUGAUUUUUAAAGCAGUUUGUUUUGGAGAUGUGGAUUUAUCUUUAUGUCUAGAAUUAUUUCUUUCAUUUUAUUAAAAAAAGGGCUAAUAAAAAUAGAGUGAGAAAUUUAUUUUUAUAAAAAUUCUGAAAAUCCCAGAUGGAAAGGCAUAUUUUACCAAAAAUUUCUCCCUAUGGGGAACCCAAUUACAGAAGAUUGACUUAUUUCACAUACGAUUCCUGGUAGAGUGAUUAAAAACAAGUUUUUGAGGGAAUAAAUAUCUUUACAAAAAGGGAAGGACUAAAAAUAUUGGCUGGGCUUUUCAGCAGAGAAUCUGAUGGACUUAAGAAGUUUUAGAAAUAUCUAUUGUUAAUCUGUUAUGGUUUCUAGGAAAUGUUGGCUAAUGCACCCCAUUAGAUAAGCGGAUCAAGCCUAAACCGAUGUUCUAUUCUACAAAAUGUCCUUGAUUUAUAAUUUUACAAGUCAUGUAGACUUUAUGUUAAGUCGUUCGAGGAGUCAAUUCAAAGUAGUUGCAAUAAUUCACCUAUCAUGUAUUUUCUUGGCGACCCAGUUACACGCAUUCGAGUCUCAACCUCACAAACAGCAAAGUGAUAAUUUUAAAAAAUGGGAGAAUUGAAAUAUUGUGACCAUCGGUUUAUCUCUGUCAAGGUUGUUUGCUGACAAAAAAUUACCAUUCCGUUUCAUUGACAACGAAACGUGGAAUAGAUUUUGUAACCGCUUAAAUUCAGCGUCAACAGGAAGACCCAGAGAGGAAAACCGUACGAUAAACCGCGAAUUAACAGUCAAACUGUUGUGAUAAGUGGCAGAAGUUCAACUUAAAAAAAAUAUAUCCUGAAAUAACGAUUUCGUACGCGAGUCACCGACAAAAAAAAAGAAAAAAAAAUGUUCAAUGCGCGACCAUGAAAACUUUUUUACCUCUUAUGAUUACAGGACGAUAUGAAGAACUGUAUGCUUCAGCACCGCCAUUAAAAAGUCGAUCGAUUGUGGCAAUUAUAGUUUAAAUCUGAAGAAACAGCCCGAAAAUAAAAUUUACACGACCGGAUGUUACAACACAUACAUUGAUGAUAUUGGAACACAUA